rnacentral:misc_RNA from 1 species
GCAAACUUGGUCAUUUAGAGGAAGUAAAAGUCGUAACAAGGUUUCCGUAGGUGAACCUGCGGAAGGAUCAUUAACAAAUCCUUUUUAUUGUGCUUGUAUCAUAUUGAUUGUUGAUUCAUGUGCAUUGUGAUGAAUGAUGCAUGUGCUUCUUCCCUCUCAAUGUGAUCACACACAUGUGUUCCAUGUGCACUUGUUUAUGCAUUUGCACAUUUGACAUUUCUGCUUUAUUUGUCUGAUUAUUAUCAUGCCAUUUGGUUGGGAUGAUAAGUAAUGUAUUAUGCAAAGAAUGACUUUUAACAAUGGAUCUCUAGGCUCUUGCAUCGAUGAAGAACGCAGC